rnacentral:lncRNA from 1 species
UUCGUAUUUUUAUUAGAGACAGGGUUUCACCAUGUUGGCCAGGCUGGUCUUGAACUCUUGACAUCAAGUGAUCCACCCGCCUCAGCCUCCCAAAUAGCUGGGAUUACAGGCGCCUGCCACCACGCCCGGCUAAGAAAAUUGAGAAUGUAUGAAAACUUACAGUAAAAAUAAGAUAUUAAAAAGAAAGAAUGUGUAACAACUGUAUGAAACUGCUUAUUACAACUUUAUAUGAACAGUGAAAAAAAUUGGAAAAAAAGCAGUCCAGCAAAUUAUGAUAUGCACAUAGGAUAGAACAUUACGCUGCUAUUUAAAAUAAUAAUAGUUGAUUAGAGUCUGGGUGUGGUAGCUCAUGCCUAUAAUCCCAGCACUUUAGGAGGCUGAGGUAGGUGGAUCACUUUUGCACAGGAGUGCAAGACCAGCCUGGGCAACAUGGUGAAACCCUGUCUCUAAUUAAAAAAAGAAUAAAAAAUGUGAUAAGAAAAAGAAUAAGAGGAAACAUUGUUAUAUCCAGUUAUCAUGUAUUUUAAUUUUAAGCAUAUGAUAAAACAUUUAACUGACUUGAAGGAAUUAGGUUCUUUUCCCUGAAUAUUUUGUAAUUUUAUAGUAAUUGAAUAACUUCAAAAUGAUUGCUAUACUGAAAUUUAACCUCUUGUUAAUGUGAAUGAUAUAUCUUUUCAUGAUUUUAUGGCAAAAUACUUUAAGUUUUAUAUUAGUCUAGUAUACCAAUUCCUAGCAGUAUGAUUCCAGGUAAAUGAUACUGCCUUAGUGGUAAUUUUUAUUCACUCAAAUUGCAAGGUUCUAUGAAUAAAUAGCAUUCUAAGUGUUUGUUAAUAUGAUAAAUAAUGAUAUAAAUGUUUUGGCGUAUUUCAUCAUGUAUAGUGAAUAUGCAAUCAUUAUUUUCAUAUCUGAGAUUCUAUCUAGUUUCUUGUGCAAAUGCCUAAAAAAUGGUGGCUGGGUGUGGUGACUCACGACUGUAAUCUCAGCACUUUGAGAGGCCAAGGUGGGCACAUUGCUUGAGCCCAAGAGUUUGAGACCAGCCAUGGUGAGACCUCAUCCUAACAAAAAUAC